rnacentral:rRNA from 1 species
CUGAGAGGGUGACCGGCCACAUUGGGACUUGAGACACGGCCCAAACUCCUACGGGAGGCAGCAGUGGGGAAUAUUGCACAAUGGGCGAAAGCCUGAUGCAGCGACGCCGCGUGAGCGAAGAAGUAUUUCGGUAUGUAAAGCUCUAUCAGCAGGGAAGAUAAUGACGGUACCUGACUAAGAAGCACCGGCUAAAUACGUGCCAGCA